rnacentral:lncRNA from 1 species
CCUGACUUUGCUGGACAGGGAAAGAAUAACUGUUGGGUCAAACAUGGAAAACUGUUUCACAGAAGAGUGACGCUUGCAGAGACACAAGGCUAAAUAAGCAAAGAGACAUUCAGAAACUCCAAAACAAGUGAUGAGAGACAGCUGCAUGCACCCAUAGUCUUAUGGAGAGAGUUGUUCCAUGUCACCGAGAACAAACUCAUCAUUUUGCCUGCAGCGCAGCUACUGACUUUUAGAUACUGUUUCCCCUCCUUGCCUUGGCCCAACCUCAGCUUUGGGGAAAGUCUCCUCAGAGUCAUCUUCCCUCUUCGUCUUCGAAAGCGCUCGCCAAAUCUCUCUUCCCACUGCUGAAGGACUAAAGCUACCUCCUCUCUGCAUCAUGGGACAGUAAAUAACUGCA